CAUCACCUCUGUAGCAUGGCAUCCAAGCACAUGCUUGAAAAGUCAUAGUGGUAAUACUGAAAGAAACCUGAAUAAGAAAUCCAAAGAGCGUGACUAAAUCUCCUUCAAAGACCAUCUCAUGUUCCUGGUGCUGUUGUUUCAAUUUGCAAUUGACCAGCUAUAGAAGUAUAAUCACAAGUUCAGAACAGCGGCAUGCGAGUGAAAGCCUGAAGCUGCAAUGUGAACUCUGGCCGUCACACUGUACAAGAACUCAAAAUCAACACACUGACUGAAAAUGUUACCUGCAAACAUGUGCUUACCUGAAGGUAGAAAUGACCCACUGUGGCUAGGAAAAGGGAUAAUGCCAGUGCCUUGUGAGAUCCCUUGUUUGGAAAGGAUGACUGUUAUGGAAAUAGUUGCUGAAGAAGAUGCUUUUCAUCAUCAAUCAGAAAGAGCUCCAAACAGUUACAUCAUGAUAUUCUAUCAGUAUGCAAGGCUGACUUACUGUUGUUAGUACUGUGAUUUUUAUUUUGCUCUGAUGGCUGAACACCAAUUGAGGAUCAGAGCAAAGUGAAGAGAGAAUUUUCAAACCAACGUGCAGCAGUUUAGAUACCGCAUAUGAUACACUGUGACCCAAUGGCAAAAUAUGUGCAGAGCUUUUCCUGAAUGAAGAAAGGAGAAAUUGGGGCUGCAACUGACACUUCAGCAUUUUCUUUUCCUUUCUUAAUAAAAGGGGCUCAUUCC
rnacentral:lncRNA from 1 species